rnacentral:rRNA from 1 species
CGGCAACAGCUCAAAUUUGAAAUCUGCCCGCAAGGGCCGAGUUGUAAUUUGAAGAAGCGAUUAUCACGUUUUCGUUCGGGUUCAAGUUCCUUGGAAUAGGACAUCAGAGAGGGUGAGAAUCCCGU